rnacentral:rRNA from 1 species
UACGUAGGGGGCAAGCGUUGUCCGGAAUCAUUGGGCGUAAAGAGCGUGUAGGCGGCCCGGUAAGUCCGCUGUGAAAGUCCAGGGCUCAACCCUGGAAUGCCGGUGGAAACUGUCGGGCUAGAGUCCGGAAGAGGCGAGUGGAAUUCCUGGUGUAGCGGUGAAAUGCGCAGAUAUCAGGAGGAACACCAAUGGCGAAGGCAGCUCGCUGGGACGGUACUGACGCUGAGACGCGAAAGCGUGGGGAGCAAACAGGG